rnacentral:rRNA from 1 species
ACAGAGGUCCCGAGCGUUGUUCGGAUUUACUGGGCGUAAAGGGUGCGUAGGCGGUUGGGUAAGUCUGAUGUGAAAUCCCCGGGCCCAACCCGGGAACGGCAUUAGAAACUGCCCGGCUAGAGGGUUGGAGGGGGGACUGGAAUUCCCGGUGUAGCAGUGAAAUGCGUAGAUAUCGGGAGGAACGCCAGUGGCGAAGGCGAGUCCCUGGACAACCCCUGACGCUGAGGCACGAAAGCUAGGGGAGCAAACAGGAUUAGAUACCCUGGUAGUCCUAGCCGUAAACGGUGCACGUUUGCUGUGGGCGGAAUCGACCCCGUCCGUGGCGGAGCUAACGCGUUAAACGUGCCGCCUGGGGAGUACGGUCGCAAGAUUA